rnacentral:tRNA from 1 species
GCCCGGUUCGUUCAGAGGCUAGGACGUGUGGCUGUUAACCAAGAGGUGCGAAGUUCGAGUCUUCGACCGGGCG